AUGCAAGUCGAACGGAAAGGCCUCUUCGGAGGUACUCGAGUGGCGAACGGGUGAGUAACACGUGGGCAAUCUGCCCUGCACUUCGGGAUAAGCCUGGGAAACUGGGUCUAAUACCGGAUAGGACCUCAAGACGCAUGUCUUCUGGUGGAAAGCUUUUGCGGUGUGGGAUGGGCCCGCGGCCUAUCAGCUUGUUGGUGGGGUGACGGCCUAUCAAGGCGACGACGGGUAGCCGGCCUGAGAGGGUGUCCGGCCACACUGGGACUGAGAUACGGCCCAGACUCCUACGGGAGGCAGCAGAAGGG
rnacentral:rRNA from 1 species